GUCUAAGGCCAUACCACCCUGAAGGUGCCCAUCUUCUCUGAUCUCAGAAACUAAGCAGGGUCAGGCCUGGUUAGUAAUUGGAUGAGAGAAAAGAAAAUGAUGUUUAUAAUAGGACUAAUCAGGAUGUACAUA
rnacentral:rRNA from 1 species